GAUGAACGCUGGCGGCGUGCCUAAUACAUGCAAGUCGAGCGAACAGACGAGGAGCUUGCUCCUCUGACGUUAGCGGCGGACGGGUGAGUAACACGUGGAUAACCUACCUAUAUGACGGGGAUAACUGCGGGAAACGGGAGCUAAUACCGGAUAAUAUAUUGUACCGCAUGGUUCAAGAGUGUAAGACGGUUUUGGUGUCACUUACAGAUGGAUCCCCUCUGCAUGAGCUAGUGGGUAAGGUAACGGCUUACCAAGGCAACGAUGCGUAGCCGACCUGAGAGGGUGAUCGGCCACACUGGAGCUGAGACACGGUCCAGACUCCUACGGGAGGCAGCAGUAGGGAAUCUUCCGCAAUGGGCGAAAGCCUGACGGAGCAACGCCGCGUGAGUGAUGAAGGUCUUCGGAUCGUAAAACUCUGUUAUUAGGGAAGAACAAAUGUGUAAGUAACUAUGCACGUCUUGACGGUACCUAAUCAGAAAGCCACGGCUAACUACGUG
rnacentral:rRNA from 1 species